ACGCUGUUCAGAUGCCCACAAUGCGUGUAAAAUACGCGCGUCUGUGCACUUCACGACACGCAUAAAAAACGGUGUUUGUGCGGUAUGAUAAUCAUCUCCAGCCUCCUUUUCUCUCAGCCAUUGAACUUGAAGUGUUUGUGUCCAAUGAGUGAUCCACACAAUC